rnacentral:lncRNA from 1 species
UUUUAAUUUAAAAUUUAAAUUUGUUAAACAAAUGUAUAUACAUACAUUUUAGUCCAAAAAUUUCACAUGGCUACUCCAUUCGCCAUGCAAAUUUGUAUGUCCAGACAAUUUCUUCCAACAUAUUUAAAUAAUAUAUUUAAUAACUUUUUUGAGUUCGCUACAGAGUUUGACAGAUAGAAAAUCAACUAUUUGGGGGCUAAGGUAAAAUUUAGUUAUCUUACUAUUGCACCCAAUGGACUCACAUACACACACACAUAAUAUUUUUUCCUAUUCAUCUAAUAUAGAUUUUUUUUUUACCUUAACCUCCAUCAUGGUUAUAUAAGUCCUUAGAUUUUUUAAACUUUUAUUGUACUCUAUUCUUUAAAAAGGUACAAUAUGCUACAGGUUUGUUAUACUUCAAUAACAGGGAAAUGAAUUAAUUAAAUUAAUUGGGUGAAUACAUUAAAUGACUUACUUUUAGUGAAUCUAUUCCUUUUCUUCACAAUUGGCUGCAAAAGUCCAGUCGUUUAAUAACAAUUGCUACCCACACCCUUAACCCAUCACAGCCUGAGAAUCAUGGGACACACUGUGUGGGAGGGAGCCGUGGAAAGCCAGGAUGAAUGGGGACAGCAUGUGAGGGCCUGGUCAGGCACCUGCACCUCGUGUCACUGGCUUCUGGGAGCACAGAAUCAGGCUGGGCACAGAGGCCUCUUCUCCACCCAGGCACCAGCAGGGGAGCUCCAUCCAAAGGAAGCCAGAGCUCCCCGCCAGGCUAGCCAAGGAGCAUGAGGGGCCAGGCCUGGCUGGAGGAAGGAAGAGGAGAAAAGAAGCGACUCUGAUCUGUCACCACACUUCGGUGCUCUGGCCUGCCUCUGCCACAUCCGGCUGCUGGGGAGCUGGCCUCGGCCCUCUGAGGGGCCACUGGCACUCAAAUCGGCCUUGAUUUUUCGGCCUUCUCAGAUCUCACUGCCUCAUCAUGGGCUUUCUGCUACUCUGGUAGCUUUUUGGCCUCUUGGCUUUUUCGCCUUUUGUCAAACAUGAUCUUCUGGUACAGGCCUCCCGGGGCUUCCGGACAGACACCUUGCAUUCUCGGACCUUGUUGACGAUGAAUUCUUGGAUGAGAAACCUGAUAUCUUCCAUGAGGCAGUCAUCAUAAAGAAGUCUGAAUAUCUUGGUUGAGAGCUAGACUUUGGAAACAGAGAGACCCUGUAUAAUAACAGACUAAGAAGUAAGGAAGACAAGCCCAGCCAGUCCCACAACUAUUUCAUUAAUACCAGGUAAAGCAACAGACCUGCCAGUGAAGCAUCUUGGAUCCUUUAGCUUUAGGAAAUCUACUCCAGUCCUGUCCUGUGGAAACUAAUGGGAGUGCCAGGAGGCCUAACCAUCUGAGGUGAAUUGAAAAGAAAAAGCAGCGUGCUGAUUGCAGUGACUGGUGCAUGGAUCUCGAUGGCUACUCUGUACUGUAGGCAGUGAUGACACCCUGUUGAGGAGAUUGGUAGGAGCCAUAGCAACACAGGAGGCACAAUUUUAGGGAUGGUUUACAUUCCUAGCUGGAGUUUCCACAAAGCCCAGGUGCUUGCAUAGAGCCUUACCCUUGCCUAUAAACAACUACAUGGUUUAGUGUCCCCGUAAAAUUUCCCUAGAAUGGGAAAUAAUGUCAGGGCAGCAAUACAGUUUGGGGCAGUAUUUAAGAUCUAGUGCUCAGCUUAACAUAAGUCAUCCUGAGACUGAGAAAAAAAUGACAGGCAAUAAUUUAGUUUCAGUACAGUAUUUUAGUUCCGAUAUUCACUAUAAGUCCUUCCCAGGAAUUGAAACAACAUUCAAGUGUUUAAAUUUAAUACUAAGACAUAACCCCUAACAUCACCAAAGAACAUCUGCAAAAACUGGAAGAGGUGGGUGUCUCCUCAAAUGUGCAGGCAUCAACAUAAGCACAUCAGAAUGGUGAAAACUCAGGUAGAUAUGAAAUUACCAAAAGGCAUCAAGGAGGCUCCAUCGAUGGAUCCAGAAUAAAUAAAGAUCUGUGAGAUGUCUGACAGAGCAUUCAGAAAAAUCUCUUCCUCUCUUUAUAUAAAUAAUGGCUGGGAAUUCAGCCAUUCCAAAUCUGGAGAACCCCUAAAGAAGUUUAGAAAAUCACAAAGAAAUAUGGAAAGUAAAUAAAAAUUAAAAAACAAUCAAUUAACAAAAUGAGAAACUUGAAAAAAAUAGAAACAAUAUUAAAAGUCCAAGGAAUAAAAAUUAAAAUAACUGAACCAAAAAACUCAUUAGAGAGCUGUCACAACAGACUUGAUCAAAAAGAGAAAAGAAUUAGUGAACUUAAAGAUGGAAUAUAUAAAAUUACCCAAUCAGAGAAGCAAAAAGAAAUAAAUAUUUAAAAAGAGUGAAGAAGGUCUAUAAGAAUUAUGGGAAACCAUCAAGUAAACUAAUCUCCGCAUAAUUGGAAUUUUUGGGGAAGAUGAGAGAGAAAUAGGCUUAUAAACACAUUUAAGAAAAUAAUUGCUGAAAAGUUUUUAAAUCAGGAGAAUUAUGACAGUAUCCAGGUUCAGGAAUCUCAGAAGUCACUAAUCAAAUUCAACAAAAAGUAGGAUUUCCCAAAGCACGUUAUAAUCAAUUUAGCAAAACUCAAAUACAUAGAAAAAAAUACUCAAACUAGCAAGAGAAAAUAAACAUUUUACUUUCAACAGAUACUCAAUAUGGUGUUGAGCAAAUUUCUCAGCAGAAAUGCUGUAGGCCAGGAGAGACUGAAAUGCUAUAUUCAAAGUGCUGAAGGGAGAAAACAAAACUACAAAACAAACAAACAAAUAAACAAACACCCUCUGCCAACCAACAAAACUGUAUCUGGCAAAGCUAUCUUUCAACCGUGAAAGGGAAAUAAAGACUUUCCUAGAUAAGCAAAAACUGAGGUAAUUCAUCAACACCAGAGCUGCCUGAGAAAAUGUGGUACAUAUUCACUAUGGAAUACUACAAAGCCAUAAAAAAUAAUAAAAUUGUGUCCUUUGCAGCAACAUGGAUGCAGCUUGAGGCUAUAAUCUUAAGCAAAUUAAUGUGGGAACAGCAAACUAAAUACUACAUGUUCUUAUUUAUAAGUGGAAGCUAAAGAUUUAGUACACAUGGACAUAAAUAUGGGAACACUAGAUGCUGUAGACUUCUAGAUGGGGGAAGGAGAGAGGAAGGCAUGGGUUGAAAAACUACCUAUUGGGUACUAUGCUCACCACCUGGGUAAUGAGAUCUGUAUCCCAAACAUUAGCAUGAUGCAGUAUUCUCAUAUAACAAACCUGUACAAGUACCCUUUGGUAUAUAAAAUGAAAGGUAAAAUUUUUAAAAAUAAAUAAAUAAUAAUUUUUAAAAAAGAAAUGCUAAAGGGAGUUCUUCCGUCUGAAAGAAGUGUACACUAAUUUGUAACAAUAAAACAUCUGAAGGCAUAAAAUUCACUGAAAAAAGUAAAGAAACAAAGUUAAAAUACUAUGGAUACUGUAUUCACGAUAAGUCAACCAGUCUUUCUACUUAUAUAUUAAGUGAGAAGACUAAAAGGAAAAACUUUUAAAUACAAUAAUAACUAAAACAAUAGGUUAAGAGAUGGGCAAUAUAACAACCCGUAAAUUGAAACAUUGCUACAUCCAAACGGAGAGGGGAAUUGUGUUAUAGAGUUUUAUUUUCUUUGAGAUCAAAGUUAUGUCACUAUAAGUUUAAAAUAACUUGUUACAACUAUAGGAUGCUUUUGUAAGCCUUAUGGUAACCACAAAGCAAAAAUCUAUAAUAAUUACACUAAAAAUAAAUAGCACAGAAACCAAACAUAAUAUUAGAGAAAAUCACUUAACCAUACAAGAAGACAGAAAAGAAAGAAAGGAUCUUCAAAACAAUUUUUUAAAAAAGUAACAAAAGGGUAGCAGUAAACCUUUACCUAUAGAUAAUAACCUUAAAUGGAAAUGGAUUAAAUUAUCCCAUUAGAAAACAGAGGGACUGAAUAGAUCUGUAAGAACCAAACUCAACUAUAUGCUACCUGCAAGAAACACACUUCACCUGCAAGGAAACACUCAGCCUGAAAAUGAAAGGGUUAAAAAAAAAGUAGCUCCAUACAAGGAAACCAAAAAAGAGCAAGAGUAGCUAUAACCAUAUCAGACAAAAGAGACUUUAAGUAAAGAAAGAUAAAAGUAAAAUAAAAAAAGACAAGGAAAGCCAUUACAUAAUGAUAAAGGGGUCAGUAUAGCAAGAACUUAUAACAAUUAUGAAUAUAUUGCACUCAACCCCAAAUCACCCAAAAAAUGUAAAACAAAUGCUGAUAGACAUAAAGAGAGAAUUUGACUGCAAUACAAUAAUACUAAGGGAGGGACUUCAAUACCCCACUUUCAUUAAUGGGUAAAUCAUCUAGACAGCAAAUCAACAAAGAAAAGUCAAACUGUAUCAUGGGCCAAAUGACCUAACAGACAUUUGCAGAACAUUUCACCCAACAGCUGCAGAAUACACAUUUUCUUAUCAGCACAUGGAACAUUUAGACCAUCUAUGAGGUAACAAAACAAGUCUUAAAAAAUGUUUAAAAAUCAAAAUCUUAUCAAUUAUCUUUUCUGACAAUAAUUGAAUAAAACUAUAAACCAAUUGCUGAAGGAAUAUUGGAAACUGUAUAAAUUUAUUGAAAUUAAACAACCUGCUUCUGAGCAACAAAUGGGCCAUUAAAUAAAUUUAGGAAAGAAAUUUUAAAAAUUAUUUGAGACAAAUGAAAAUGGAAACACAGUAUAUCAAAACAAGCAAAAACAGUUCUUGGAAGGUUUUAGCAAUAAACAUCUACAUCAAAAAAGUAGAAAGACUUCCAAUAACCUAACAAUUCACCUUUUAGAAGUAGAAAAGCAAGAAUAAAUCAAACACAAAAUUAAUAGGAGGGAAGAAAUAAUAAAGAUCACAGAAGAAAUACAUAAAAUUGAGACUAAAAGAACAACAUGGAAGAUCAACCAAACAAAAACUUGAUUAUUUGAAAAGAUAAACAAAAUUGACAUACAUUUAGAUAGUUACCAUUAAUUAGAAAACAAAAGAAAAUGCCCGAAUAAAAUCAGAGACAAGAAAAGGGAAACAUUACAACUGGUAUCACAAAAAUACAAAUAAUUAUUAGCUAAUAUUAUGAACAAUUACGUGCCAACAAAUUGGAAAACCUGAAGAAACUGACAAAUUCCUGGACAAGUACAACUUACCAGGAUUGAACCACGAAGAAACAGAAAAACUGAAGAGACCAAUAAAAACUGAGAUUGAAGUAAUAAUAAAAAAACCUAUAAUUAAAAAUUAUAAUUUAAUAUAAUUUAAUAUAAUUUAAUACUAUAAUAAAAAAUAAUAAAAAAUAAUUAUAUUUUUUAUUAUUUUAUUUUAAAUAUAUUAUUUUAAAUAUAUUAAAAUAAUAUAUUUUAUUAUUAUAUAAAUAUAAAUAUAAUAUUUACAAUUAAUAAAAAAUAAUUUUAAAAUCCAGAGAAAAGCCCAGGACCUUAGAGCUUCACUGCUAGAUUCUACCUAUUGAAUAAAAAUGAAAAGUAAUUCUACUGUACUGUUCCAAAUAAUUAAGUAGGAAGGAAUACUUUCAAACUUAUUUUUUAAGGCCAGAAUUACCCUGACACUAAACCCAGAAAAGAAGAUAACAAAGAGAAAACUACAGGACAAUGUCCCUAUUGAACACAGAUGCAAAAAUUCUCACCAAAAUACUAGCAAACUGAAUUCAACAACACAAUAAAAAUAUCAUUGACCAUUAGUUUGUAUAUCAAUAUAUGCAAACUGUGAAUGAUACAUUAUGUUAACAGAAUGAAGAAGAAAAAAAUCGUAAUCAUUUCAACUGAUGUUGAAAAAUCAUUCAAUAAAAUUUAACAUCUCUUCAUAAUUAAAAACUUUCAACUGGGUAUAGAAGGAACAGACCUCAAAACAAUAAAGUCCAUAUGUAACAAAUCCACAGUUAAUACCGUACUGAACAGGAAAAAAAACGAAAGACUUUGCUUAAGAUCUGGAAAAAGACGAGGAUGCUCACUUUCACCAUUAUUCAACAUGGUACUGGAAGUCAACCUAAAGCAGUUAGACAAGAGAAAGAAACAAAAGGCAUCUGAAUUGGAAAGAAGGAAGUCAAUUUGUCCCUGUUUGCAUAUGACAUGAUCUUAUAUACAGAAAAAACUAAACAGUCUAACAUAUAACUCUUGACAACACAUAAACCAAUCCCAUAACGUUUCAUAGUAUAGAAUCAACAUACAAACUUUAGUUAAUAGUGAACUUUCUAAAAAGAUAUCAAAGGCACCAAGAAUAAACAUUGUGGAAAGGAGAGUCUAGUGAGGAUGCAGAGAAAGGGGGAUACUAGUGUACUGUUGGUAGGAAUGUUAAGUUAGUGCAGCUACCAUGGAAAAUAGUAUGGAGGUUCCACAAAAAACUAAAAAUAGAACUUUCCAGCAAUCCCUACUGCCAUAUAUAUAUAUAUAUAUAUAUAUAUAAAUUGCUAUAGUAAAGGGAUGUCUGCACUCCCAUGUUUACUGCAGCUAUAUUCACAGUAGCCAAGAUAUGAAAUUAACCUAAGUAUCCAACACUGAUGAAUAAAUAAAGAAAAUGCGGUAUACAUACAUAAUGGCAUAGUAUUCAGCCAUUAAAAAGAAUAUAAUCAUGUCAUUUGCAACAACAUACUUGGAACUUCAGGUCAUUAUGUUACCUUUAGUGAGCCAGGCAGAGAAAGACAAAUGGUACAUAUUGUCGUUCAUAUGUGGAAGCUACAAAAGUUUAUCUCUUGGAAAUAGAAGGUAGAAUGAUCAUAACCAGAGGCUGGAAAGUGUUGGGAAGAGAGGGAUAAGGUUGGUUAAUGGGCACAAAGAUACAGUUAAAUAGAAGGAGUAAACUCUAGUGUUUGAGAGCACAGUAGGGUGACUAUAGUUAACAAUAAUUUAUUGAAUAUUUCGAAAGAUUUAGAUGGUUCUCAAUAUAAAGAAAUGAUAAGUGUUUGAGGUGAUGGAUAUUCUAAUUACUUUGAUUUGAUCAUAACAGAUUGUAUGCAAUCUGUAUCAAAAUACAUCAAAAUGCAGAUGUAUCAAAAUAUCAUAUGCACUUUAUAAAUAUAUACAAUUAUUAUGUAUCAAUUUAAAACUGGAAAAAAAGAGCUUCUGUUGUUCAACAUCCUUUUCAACCAAUGUGAUAGGCAUGCAAUGCUAUUUCAUUGUAUUUCAUUUUUAUGAUAAAAUUGGUCAUUUUCCUACUGUUAUGGGCCACUUAUAUUUUGAUUUUUGAUGAAAUGCUCUGUCAGUUUUCCUUGUCCACUUUUCCAUUGUAAUAUUUACCUUUUUGUUAUUUAUCUUAGGUGUUCUUCAUAUUUUCUAAAUUUGAAUUCGUGACUGCUAAAUGUGUUUCAAAUAUCUUUUCAGAUUCAUAGGGUUUGGUGUUCACUUUGUUUUUAUGAGUCUUUUGAUGAAUAUAAGUACUUAAAUUUAAUACAUUUCAAUGUAUCAUUUUUUAUCCAUUAAGCCAUGUGAAAUUCGUUUUGCUUAAGGUAUGAAUGUUAUUUUAAUUUGAAAAAUCUAUAUAAUAAAGUAAUCCAUAAAUACUUAAAUAGUCUAUCCAGUUCCACUGAUUUGAACAAACACUUCUGUUAUAUCCAUAUUCCAUAAAUGUAUAGGUCUGUAGCUUUCUAUUCUGUUCUCCUUUUUUAUUUGCCUUUUUUGUACUAUUUCCACACUGUCCUAAAUAUUUAUAGCUUUAGAAGAAGUCGUUAUAUUUAAAACUAGAAUUCCUUUUUCCUUGUCUGUUUUCAGGAAUUUUUCUGUUUUUCUUGUCCCUUUACUUUUCCAAAUAAUUUAGAAUAAAGUUGUCAAGUAGAAAAAAUAUAUUGUUAUGAUUAUAAAUAGAAUCACAUUAAAUCUAUAUCUCAAUUUAGAGACAUUUGUCAUCUUUGUAAUAUCUUUUCCUAUGAAUAUGAUAUAACGUUUUAUAUCCUGUUUCAUUUCUUUCAAUAUAUAAUAUGGUAUAAUUUCAUUUAAAAAGCUUUUGUAGAACCUUAGAUUUAUUCAUAAUUUAUUUUUGAUACUAUUCUUAAAUUUCAGACAUCAUUUGAUUUUUGUAUAUUGACCUUGUGUAUGUCAAACUUGCCUAACUUUAUUAAUUUUAAUUACUUGCUUUUGUAAACUUUUUGUAAACUUGAGUUUUAUUUCAGUCUAGAAUCAUAACAUCUGGCAUCACUGAUAUUUUUGUUUUCAUUUCUAAUGAAUUUUAUUUCUUUGUAUUUUCUUAUGUUUAUGGCUAAACAACCAAUUUUGUGUUGAAUGUAAAGGCUGACAAGAAAUAUCCUUUUAUCAUUUGUGAUAUUAAAAUGCAU